AUGUCUUGCUUCAGAUUGCCAAGGGGUCUGUGCGAGCACCUAAAUAAACUAAUCAAGCAGUUUUGGUGGGGGAGUAAACAAGGAAAACGGAAAUCGGCAUGGGUAGCAUGGAAGACCAGGACUCAACCAAAAUUAAUGGGAGGGCUAGGAUUCCGAGAUUUUGAAUUGUUUAACAUUGCCCUUCUUGCACGACAAUCAUGGAGGUUACCACAACAGUCGAGCUCUUUGUGUGCGCGUAUGCUGAAGGCGAUAUACUACCCGAGCAGAACAAUACUUUCAGCUGAGCUAGGCAGUCGACCCUCGCAGGUGUGGCGUGCUAUCAUGGAAGGGAGGGAGGUCAUGUGCCAAGGAUUGAUAAGGAGUAUAGGUGAUGGAACAACAACAAAAAUUUGGGUUGAUAACUGGUUACCACGGAAUGCAACAAUGAGACCUAUUGCUUGUUUGUCUGCUAACCCACCCACGAUGUUAAGUGAACUCAUAGAUAAUACAAGUGCUACUUGGAGGAGGGAGAUCAUUUACCAAACCUUUCUAGCGACGGACAAGAGUAUGAUCCUGAGUAUCCCUAUUUGCACUCUAUGGAUGGACGAUUUCUGGGCAUGGAAUUUUGAGAAGAAUGGUAUAUUCACAGUGAGAUCAGCUUAUCGCAUGUUAGUAGACACAAAGAGAAGGAGAGAAGAUUGGCUAAAAGGUAAUGCGGGAAGUUCGGAUUAUGAAGCACAAGCGAAUAGUUGGACCUCUUUAUGGUCGAUUAAGGUACCGGGGAAGAUCCGUAAUUUUCUUUGGAGGCUUGCCAAACAUUCAAUCCCUACAGAGGAUGUUAGACAUAGUAGGAACAUGGCCGAGGAGGAUAAUAGUCAGUUAUGUGGGAUGCCAGACUCUUGGCGUCAUUCAUUAUUGGAUUUCUCAACACCACGGUGCGUGUGGGCACUAGUAGAUGAGGAUGCGGCUGAGUAUGUCCAAGCUUCGGAGGAACCAAAUGCUAAGUUGUGGUUAUUUUCACUUAUAGAUGAUCUACCGCAUGCUAGUCUCAUCAAGCUGGUCGUCACCCUUUGGGCAAUCUGGGCAGCCCGGCGUAAAGUUAUACACGAGGGGUUUUUCCAAAGUCCGCAUGCGGCACAUGCUUUUAUGAUGAACUAUAUAGCAGAGCUAGAUGCAAUUGUGGAACCUAGUAGCUCUGGUGUGCAAGUUGCACCACUGGGUGCAAGGCAAAGCACAAGUAAUUGGAGAGCACUGGACAUGGGAGUGGCCAAGAUCCAAGUUGAUGGCGGGCUAGCUAGAAACGGAAGGAGCGGGGCAGCUGCAGCGGUGUGUCGUAAUCAUUCAGGAUUUUAUUUGGGUUCUUCCGCUAUGGUCUUCAGGGACAUAGCAGAACCAGCGGCGUUGGAGGCACUAGCCUGCCGCAAAGCAUUGGCAUUAGCACUCGACCUACCACUUCACCACAUCGUUAUUGCAUGUGAUUGCAAUGGAGUUGUAGCAGAGAUAAAUAAUGGAUCAGAGGGAAGGCACGGUGCUAUCAUCAAGGAAAUUUGUGCUCGAGCGAGAGACUUUAUUAGCUGCGAUUUUAUUUUUGAAGGACGUAGUAUGAACUUUGAUUCUCAUAAUUUAGCUAAGUUUUCUUCUUCUUUAGAUGUGGGUCGGUAG
rnacentral:rRNA from 1 species